rnacentral:rRNA from 1 species
UACGGAGGGUGCAAGCGUUAUCCGGAAUCAUUGGGUUUAAAGGGUCCGCAGGCGGACUUAUAAGUCAGUGGUGAAAUCUCUCGGCUUAACCGAGAAACUGCCAUUGAUACUGUAAGUCUUGAAUUCGGUCGAAGUGGGCGGAAUGUGUCAUGUAGCGGUGAAAUGCAUAGAUAUGACACAGAACACCGAUAGCGAAGGCAGCUCACUAGGCCUGGAUUGACGCUCAGGGACGAAAGCGUGGGGAGCGAACAGG